rnacentral:rRNA from 1 species
CACGUAGGGCGCAAGCGUUGUCCGGAAUUAUUGGGCGUAAAGAGCUCGUAGGCGGUCUGUUGCGUCCGCUGUGAAAACUCGGGGCUUAACCCCGAGCCUGCAGUGGAUACGGGCAGACUAAAGGUAGGUAGGGGAGAAUGGAAUUCCCGGUGUAGCGGUGAAAUGCGCAGAUAUCGGGAGGAACACCGGUGGCGAAGGCGGUUCCCUGGGCCUUACCUGACGCUGAGGAGCGAAAGCGUGGGGAGCGAACAGG